rnacentral:tRNA from 1 species
GCCUUGGUAGUGUAACGGCUUGCAUAGGAGGCUGUGGACCUCCAGGACCGGGUCCGACUCCCGGCCGAGGCC